AUUGAACGCUGGCGGCAGGCCUAACACAUGCAAGUCGAGCGGAUGAAGGGAGCUUGCUCCUGGAUUCAGCGGCGGACGGGGGAGUAAUGCCUAGGAAUCUGCCUGGUAGUGGGGGAUAACGUCCGGAAACGGGCGCUAAUACCGCAUACGUCCUGAGGGAGCAAGUGGGGGAUCUUCGGACCUCACGCUAUCAGAUGAGCCUAGGUCGGAUUAGCUAGUUGGUGGGGUAAAGGCCUACCAAGGCGACGAUCCGUAACUGGUCUGAGAGGAUGAUCAAUCACACUGGAACUGAGACACGGUCCAGACUCCUACGGGAGGCAGCAGUGGGGAAUAUUGGACAAUGGGCGAAAGCCUGAUCCAGCCAUGCCGCGUGUGUGAAGAAGGUCUUCGGAUUGUAAAGCACUUUAAGUUGGGAGGAAGGGCAGUAAGUUAAUACCUUGCUGUUUUGACGUUACCAACAGAAUAAGCACCGGCUAACUUCGUG
rnacentral:rRNA from 1 species